rnacentral:rRNA from 9 species
UCUGGUGAUGAUGGCGAAGAGGUCACACCCGUUCCCAUGCCGAACACGGAAGUUAAGCUCUUCAGCGCCGAUGGUAGUUGGGGGUCUCCCCCUGUGAGAGUAGGACAUCGCCAGGC